AUCCAAUCCAGAAGGUAUACUGUUAUAUUUCUUGUGGAUCUUAAUUUGCAUAUGCAUUAUAAAUAAUGAGUUACUCCAUCUCUCAUUCAUCUAUUUACCACACCUAGCUGUAAAAACAAUGAAUUGCUAGAUAAGCAUUAUAACAAAACCUACUGCAUAAAACUUACAUCUCAUUGUCUAAUACAAAAUGACCAAUGUCACGUACUGAUAUGCAAGUGAGAAAUCAAGCCAAAAAAGGAAUGGUUUUGCCCUUCGAGCCCAUUUCACUUGCCUUCAACCAUAUGAACUACCACGUGGAUAUGCCUCCUGUAAGCAACUUUGCGUCUAUUUUCUUUGAUAUGCUAAGCUAAAUUCAAGAAAUCAACGUGAGUACUUAUAAAUUAACAAUGCAUUAAACGAAAUGAAAAAUGAAUUUCUGCUCAUUGGUUAAGAAGUGACUGUUUUAGUCUUGCAAUCGAUCAUACAUAUGAUGCAUGAAGCAGUUCCUAGUAUUAGCAGUUAAAAUGGGUUUGUACUUCUGAAUUUCAGACCCAAAAAUCAAGUUUAGCAAAAACAGAGAAAUACCACCAAAUAAAAAAUUGAAGAAGGAGAAGACAGAGAUAUGUUGACGUCUCACCUUAAGUUAAGGGCUGGUUUGGUAUUGCUGUGCUUUGAAAAAAAGCUGCUGUGAGAAUAAGCGGCUGUGCUGUGAGAAUAAGCGGCUGUGAAAUAAAUCAGCAGAGUGUUUGGUAAACUUUUUUGUAAAAGUGCUUUUGAAAAAAAAAACAGUCUGAUAGUGGAUCUUUUCAUUAAAGGAGCACUGUAGUUCUGUGUGCUUUGAAAAAAAGCCAGUUUUCCAAAGCUACAAAUUGCAGCUUCAGCUUUUCCUUUGAUUUCAGCUUAUUCUCACAGCAGCUUCCAAAAUAAGCCCUUUUUUUUAAGUUUACCAAACACCAAAAACACUCCCAGCUUUUUUUCAUAGGAGCUUUUUUUAAAAUCACCUCAACCCCAAACUGGGGCUUAGUAUGGCUUCCGCAGACGAUCCCAAAACUGAAUAGAAGUGAACUCUGCAAACAAAAUUAAUUCCAAACCCUAAAUUAAAUUUCAAAAGGAAGACAGAAAUUAGAUUUCAAAACACUAAAUUAAUUACCUAAUUUGGGAUCGAGAGUUCUGUGACUUCUGUCUGUGAGAGAAAAUCGCCCCGAGAGAGAGAGAUCGCGAGAGAGAGCGGUGGUGUGACGGUGGCUGUGUGGUGAAGGAAGGAUGGAGAGUCAGAGACGAUAGUAUGGUGUGGUGGUGGGCUGGUGGCUGGCCGGAAUUCGACACAAAGAGGGUCAAGGGUUGGAGAUGAGGGCUCGGUGAGGGAGGCUCAGGGGCUGCGUUCGAGUUCGAUGGAAUAACACAGAAAUGAAAUGGGAGAAUGGAG
rnacentral:lncRNA from 1 species